AUUGAACGCUGGCGGCAUGCCUUACACAUGCAAGUCGAACGGCAGCACGGGUGCUUGCACCUGGUGGCGAGUGGCGAACGGGUGAGUAAUAUAUCGGAACGUACCUUAUUGUGGGGGAUAACGCAGCGAAAGCUGUGCUAAUACCGCAUAAUCCCUAAGGGGGAAAGCGGGGGACCGUAAGGCCUCGCGCAAUUAGAGCGGCCGAUACCUGAUUAGCUAGUUGGUGAGGUAAAGGCUCACCAAGGCAACGAUCAGUAGCUGGUCUGAGAGGACGAUCAGCCACACUGGGACUGAGACACGGCCCAGACUCCUACGGGAGGCAGCAGUGGGGAAUUUUGGACAAUGGACGAAAGUCUGAUCCAGCAAUGCCGCGUGAGUGAAGAAGGCCUUCGGGUUGUAAAGCUCUUUUGUCAGUGAAGAAAACUUUAGUAAUAACACUAUUAAAGCAUGACGGUAACUGAGGAAUAAGGACCGGCUAACUACGUGCCAGCAGCCGCCGUAA
rnacentral:rRNA from 1 species